rnacentral:rRNA from 1 species
GUAGGGGAGUAACGUAGCGAAGUUACGCUAAUACCGCAUAUGCCCUAAGGGGGAAAGGCGGGGGACGUCUGCAAAGAGCCUCCGCGCGACUGGAGCGGCUGAUAUCAGAUUAGCUUGUUGGUGGGGUAAAAGCCCACCAAGGCGACGAUCUGUAGCUGGUUUGAGAGAACGACCAGCCACACUGGGACUGAGACACGGCCCAG